ACUCCUACGGGAGGCAGCAGUGGGAAUAUUGGACAAUGGGGGAAACCCUGAUCCAGCCAUGCCGCGUGUGUGAAGAAGGCCUUCGGGUUGUAAAGCACUUUCAGUGGGGAGGAAAGGUUGUUGGUUAAUACCUAACAGCUGUGACGUUACCCACAGAAGAAGCACCGGCUAACUCUGUGCCAGCAGCCGCGGUAAUACAGAGGGUGCGAGCGUUAAUCGGAUUUACUGGGCGUAAAGCGUGCGUAGGCGGCCAUUUAAGUCAAAUGUGAAAUCCCCGAGCUUAACUUGGGAAUUGCAUUCGAUACUGGAUGGCUAGAGUAUGGGAGAGGAUGGUAGAAUUCCAGGUGUAGCGGUGAAAUGCGUAGAGAUCUGGAGGAAUACCGAUGGCGAAGGCAGCCAUCUGGCCUAAUACUGACGCUGAGGUACGAAAGCAUGGGGAGCAAACAGGAUUAGAUACCCUGGUAGGCUCUGCU
rnacentral:rRNA from 1 species